UUUCCCCCUCCCAAAUUUCCCCCUCCCAGCUCAGAAGACCCCGAUGACAAACGGCUCCAACCUCGGGGCUCCUGGGGUCCCUCAACUUCUCGGGGGGGACCCCAACCCCUCCUACUGGUACCAGCACAGCUACGGCACCUGUGGCUACCAGAGCCCCUGGGGCUACGGCCACAGCUGAGGGGGGACUGCACCCCCCUGUACAGACGGUGGGACCCCUCCCCAAAAAUUCGGGGGGUUAUUGUAAAUAAAGAGGCUGUGAGGAGUUACCCGAGGCCUUUAUUGGGGUUUCUGACAUUUGGGAAGGGGGGGCAGCAGAUUUUUGGGACCCCCAGGGAGGAUUUUUGGGGUGUCCCAGGUGGAUUCCAGGACCCCGCCAUGGAUUCUGAGGUACCCCAAACAGACCUAGGGGUUCUCCAGAGGGAUUUUGCAGACUCCAGGCAGAUUUUGGGAUGCUCCAGGUGGAUUUGGAGGUGCCCAGGUGGAUUCCAAGCUCCCCUUGUGGAUUUUCAGCUGCUCCCAACACAUUCUGGGGUGUUUCAGGUGGAUCUGGAGGUGCCCCAAACAGAUCUCGGGGCGCCCAGAUGGAUCUGGAUGUGCCCCAAACAGAUUCUGGGGUGUCCCAGGUGGAUCUGGAGGUGCCCCAAACAAAUUUUGGGAGGCCCAGGUGGAUCUGGAGGUGCCCCAAACAGAUUUUGGUGUGCCCAGGUGGAUUCCAAGCUCCCCC